UACGUAGGGACCGAGCGUUGUCCGGAUUCAUUGGGCGUAAAGAGCUCGUAGGCGGCUGCUCAAGUCGAAUGUGAAAACUCGAGGCUCAACCUCGAGCCUGCAUUCGAUACUGGGCGGCUAGAGUCUGGUAGGGGGAUCUGGAAUUCCGGGUGUAGCGGUGGAAUGCGUAGAGAUCCGGAAGAACACCGGUGGCGAAGGCGGCCUGCUGGGCAGUUGCUGACACUGAGGCGCGACAGCGUGGGGAGCAAACAGG
rnacentral:rRNA from 1 species